rnacentral:rRNA from 1 species
GAUGAACGCUGGCGGCGUGCCUAAUACAUGCAAGUCGAGCGGAAGGGCGAUAAGCUUGCUUCUCUGAUGUUAGCCGCGGACGGGUGAGUAACACGUGUAUAACCUACCUAUAAGACUGGUAUAACUUCGGGAAACCGGAGAUAAUACCGGAUGAUAUUUUGAACCGCAUGGUUCAAAAGUGAAAGACGGUCUUGCUGCCACUUAUCGAUGGAUCCGCGCUGCAUUAGCUAGUAGGUAAGGUAACGGGUUACGAAGGCAACGAUGCAUUGACGAACUGAGAGGGGGGUAGGCGGCCUGGGAGCGGGGACAGGGUCAAUGGGCCUACGAGAGGCAGCAGUCUGGAAUGGGACGCAACGGGGGAAAGCCUGACGCAGCAACGGCGAGUGUGUUAUGACGGUCUUGGGAUCGUAAUACUCGGUUAUGAGGUAUGAACCGAUUUGGAAUUUACUGUGCACAGCUUGACGGUACUUGGUCAGAAAGCCCCGGCUAACUACGUG